GUGUGAACUGUCAAUUAAUUGCAAAGAUUACAUAAUUGUGAUUUUGGGUCACGGUGGCUUGAUUUUAAAGUCAGCAAAAAAUCAUGGUCUGUUCAGACGAAAUUCCACAGCAGAUUUGUUGCUUACAAUAAAAGUAUAAAACUUUGGUUAUGGUCCAUAAUUUUCAUUACAAAAAAAAAACCAAAAAAAAAAAACAUACCAAUAAAUUCCUAAAAACAACAAUUAUUAUUUAAACUUUAAAUUUUUAACCGCUCAACCCUUCAAACCAUGGGCUUUUUGUUUUCAACUGACUGAGCCUCUUGAUUCCCAGAAAGAUCCAUAAAUCAAUAAAUGCAGUAACUGUGGCCUCAGUUGUUUGCCAGCCAUAAAUAGUCCAGUGAAAGGUGUUAAUUAUCCAUUAAUGUAAUUUUUCUGCAGAUUUACCUGACAGAGAAAUGCACGCACAUAAGAUAAAUCAAACUGAAGAGUGUGAAAAAUUAAGCAUUUAAUAUUUAGCUUGUUUUGAUCUCCCUCUCGCACAAACAGUGAGGAAAUAUGACGGCAAACUAUCAAAAUCCAGCAUAUAUGUCAAUAAAGUGGCAGAUCUCUGUAGAAAUAUGGUAUCAUCUCUAGUGCUUCAACUCUACGGGAGACAACAAAACUGCACAAUGGUCACUGAAGGGGUUACACAGAAACUUGUUUUUGCAUCCCCUCUGCAGAUCAGGCACAUUUUAAUCUGCACAGCACAUUUUAGUCUGCACAACAGACAUACAACUGCUGCCAUCCUGUGUAACGGACCCCUAAAAACACCACAUCCUACAGGGUAGUUACUACGCACAUGGAGUGACAUAACGUGCCUUUCUGUGGGAUUCUGCUCCAACACUUGUUCAUACCAGAUCACGAUGUGGUGCCCAGCCAACUUAUCAGAACAUAUGUCACCAGUUUAUCGGAGAAGAUGAUGGUGUGGGUGGGGCACCUGAGUUUUUUCAGAUCAAAAAGGGAUAUGACACAAGAAACUGUCAGGAACCCCUGGAAAUGUGAUUAACAAGGCUCACAGAACCACUCAGUAAAUAAGAACAUAAUGAAGAAAAAACAGAAAACCAUCAGUCUUUAAGACACAGAAUGAUGAGAACUUUAGGAUGGUUGGGGGAUCUUCAUAUGGCCAGUUGGUUAGAGGGGAAGUUGAUCAGCUAAUCAGCAAGGUAAACUAGCCGUAUCAAGGCAAGCAGAAGGGAGCGCUCAGUGC